CUCCAGAUGAGGCCUCACCAAUGUCGAAUAGAGGUGAACGAUCACGUCCCUCGAUCUGCUCGCUAUGCCCCUACUUAUACAUCCCAAAAUGCCAUUGGCCUUCUUGGCAACAAGGGCACACUGCUGACUCAUAUCCAGCUUCUCAUCCACUGUCACCCCUAGGUCCUUUUCCGCAGAACUGCUGCCUAGCCAUUCGGCCCCUAGUCUGUAGCGGUGCAUUGGAUUCUUCCGUCCUAAGUGCAGGACCCUGCACUUAUCCUUAUUGAACCUCAUCAGAUUUCUUUUGGCCCAAUCCUCCAAUUUGUCUAAGUCCUUCUGUAUCCUAUCCCUCCCCUCCAGCGUAUCUACCACUCCUCCCAGUUUAGUAUCAUCCGCAAAUUUGCUGAGAGUGCAAUCUACACCAUCCCCCAGAUCAUUUAUGAAGAUAUUGAACAAAACCGGCCCCAGGACCGACCCCUGGGGCACUCCACUUGACACUGGCUGCCAACUAGACAUGGAGCCAUUGAUCACUACCCGUUGAGCCCGACAAUCUAGCCAGCUUUCUACCCACCUUAUAGUGCAUUCAUCCAGCCCAUACUUCCUUAACUUGCUGACAAGAAUACUGUGGGAGACCGUGUCAAAAGCUUUGCUAAAGUCAAGAAACAAUACAUCCACUGCUUUCCCUUCAUCCACAGAACCAGUAAUCUCAUCAUAAAAGGCAAUUAGAUUAGUCAGGCAUGACCUUCCCUUGGUGAAUCCAUGCUGGCUGUUCCUGAUCACUUUCCUCUCAUGCAAGUGCUUCAGGAUUGAUUCUUUGAGGACCUGCUCCAUGAUUUUUCCAGGGACUGAGGUGAGGCUGACUGGCCUGUAGUUCCCAGGAUCCUCCUUCUUCUCUUUUUUAAAGAUUGGCACUACAUUAGCCUUUUUCCAGUCAUCCGGGACUUCCUCCGUUCGCCACGAGUUUUCAAAGAUAAUGGCCACUGGCUCUGCAAUCAUAGCCGCCAAUUCCUUCAGCACUCUCGGAUGCAACUCAUCCGGCCCCAUGGACUUGUGCAUGUCCAGCUUUUCUAAAUAGUCCCUAACCACCUCUAUCUCCACAGAGGGCUGGCCAUCUCUUCCCCAUUUUGUGAUGCCCAGCGCAGCAGUCUGGGAGCUGACCUUGUUCGUGAAGACAGAGGCAAAAAAAGCAUUGAGUACAUUAGCUUUUUCCACAUCCUCUGUCACUAGGUUGCCUCCCUCAUUCAGUAAGGGGCCCACACUUUCCUUGGCUUUCUUCUUGUUGCCAACAUACCUGAAGAAACCCUUCUUGUUACUCUUGACAUCUCUUGCUAGCUGCAGCUCUAGGUGCGAUUUGGCCCUCCUGAUAUCAUUCCUACAUGCCCGAGCAAUAUUUUUAUACUCUUCCCUGGUCAUAUGUCCAACCUUCCACUUCUUGUAAGCUUCUUUUUUAUGUUUAAGAUCCGCUAGGAUUUCACCAUUAAGCCAAGCUGGUCGCCUGCCAUAUUUACUAUUCUUUCGACUCAUCGGGAUGGCUUGUCCCUGUAACCUCAACAGGGAUUCCUUGAAAUACAGCCAGCUCUCCUGGACUCCUUUCCCCUUCAUAUAAGUCCCCCAGGGGAUCCUGGCCAUCCGUUCCCUGAGGGAGUCGAAGUCUGCUUUCCUGAAGUCCAGGGUCCGUAUCCUGCUGCUUACCUUUCUUCCCUGCGUCAGGAUCCUGAACUCAACCAACUCAUGGUCACUGCCUCCCAGAUUCCCAUCCACUUUUGCUUCCCCCACUAAUUCUACCCGGAUUGUGAGCAGCAGGUCAAGAAAAGCGCCCCCCCAGUUGGCUCCUCUAGCAUUUGCGCCAGGAAAUUGUCCCCUACGCUUUCCAAAAACUUCCUGGAUUGUCUAUGCACUGCUGUAUUGCUCUCCCAGCAGAUAUCAGGAAAAUUAAAGUCACCCAUGAGAAUCAGGGCAUGCGAUCUAGUAGCUUCCGUGAGCUGCCGGAAGAAAGCCUCAUCUGCCUCAUCCCCCUGGUCCGGUGGUCUAUAGCAGACUCCCACCACUACAUCACUCUUGUUGCACACACUUCUAAACUUAAUCCAGAGACACUCAGGUUUUUCUACAGUUUCGUACCGGAGCUCUGAGCAGUCAUACUGCUCCCUUACAUACAGUGCUACUCCCCCACCUUUUCUGCCCUGCCAGUCCUUCCUGAACAGUUUAUAACCAUCCAUGACAGUACUCCAGUCAUGUGAGUUAUCCCACCAAGUCUCUGUUAUUCCAAUCACGUCAUAGUUCCUUGACAUCACCAGGACCUCCAGUUCUCCCUGCUUGUUUCCAAGGCUUUGUGCAUUCGUAUAUAAGCACUUGAGAUAACCUGUUGAUCGCCCCUCAUUCCCAGUAUGAGGCAGGAGCCGUCCCCUCACAGACAUUCCUGCCUGUGCUUCCUCCCGGUAUCCCGCUUUCCCACUUACCUCAGGGCUUUGGUCUCCUUCCCCCGGUGAACCUAGUUUAAAGCCCUCCUCACUAGGUUAGCCAGCCUGCUGGCAAAAAUGCUCUUCCCUCUCUUCGUAAGAUGGAGCCCGUCUCUACCCAGCACUCCUCCUUCAUGGAACACCAUCCCAUGGUCAAAGAAUCCAAAGCCUUCUCUCCGACACCACCUGCGUAGCCAUUCGUUGACUUCGACGAUUCGACAGUCCCUACCCAGGCCUUUUCCUUCCACGGGAAGGAUGGACGAGAACACCACUUGCGCCUCCAACUCCUUUAUCCUUCUUCCCAGAGCCACGUAGUCCGCAGUGAUCCGCUCAAGGUCAUUCUUGGCAGUAUCAUUGGUGCCCACGUGGAGAAGCAGGAAGGGGUAGCGAUCCGAGGGCUUGAUGAGUCUCGGCAGUCUCUCUGUCACAUCGCGAAUCUUAGCCCCUGGCAAGCAGCAGACUUCUCGGUUUUCCCGGUCAGGGCGGCAGAUAGAUGACUCAGUCCCCCGGAGGAGAGAGUCCCCGACCACCACCACCCGCCUUCUCCUCUUGGGAGUGGUGGUCGUGGAACCCCCAACCUCAGGACAUCGCAUCUCAUGCCUUCCAACCAGCGGAGUCUCCUUCUGCUUUCUCGCCCCAGACAUAUCAUCUGGUCCACUCUCCGCAACGGUACCUGUGGAGAGAACAUGAAAGCGGUUAGUUACCUGUGUCUGUGUUACUGGAACCCGGACAUUCCGCUUACCUCUUCUGGAGGUCACAUGUUGCCAAGCUUCUUCACUGGCCUCUUGGCUCCUCUGUGCAACCUGCUCUAUAUCUUUAGAGCUUUGUGCCCCUAGAAGCAUAUCCUGAGUUUUGUCCAGAAAAUCCUCAGUUUCUCGUAUGCAAUGCAGGGUUGUUAUCUGUUGCUCCAGACCUUCAAUCUUCUCUUCCAAUAUGGAGACCAGCUUGCACUUUGUACAGACAAAGUCGCUUCUGUCCUGUGGAAGAAAGACAAACAUGGCACAUCCAGUGCAGGUCACAACAGCUGAACCCCCCCCUUCCAUAUCACCUUCCUACUAUGAGCUUCCUCAGAGCAGUUUGCAAGACGUAAGCCUCACUGGGCUCACUCCAGGCGAACUCCCAGGCAAACUCCUGCUGUGAGCUGCUCUGCUGUCCCCCGCCGCUCAGCUGGUUUGCGAAGCUCUGGCUAUUUUUAAACAGCCAGACUUCCCUGACACAAACAAACGGACACCCUAAUGCCCGCCCCCUGCAGGCUAGCAGCCAAUCAGACACUCACUCAGGCUCUCACACUGCCCUCCCAGCAAACACGCUCGGAUACUUCCUCAGCAAGCAAACACACACACACUCAGAUACUUACCAGUUCCAGGCAAACUCCUGCUGUGAGCUGCUCUACUGUCCCCCGCUGCUCAGCUGGUUCGCCGCCGCUCAGCUGGUUCGCGAAGCUCUGGCUAUUUAUUAAUUUGAGACUAACAUGGCUGCUACUCUGAAACCUGAUACAAUAAACUGAAGACACCUAGAAAAGGACAUGAGGGGCGGAGCAGGACCAAGCAACACUUGCCUUCAUAUUGUCAUAUAACCACAUCCCUAUCUCCUUCGCAAUGGACUUCAUUUUCUUGUGGACAACAUCUUCUAGAGGAACAAGCAUUUAAUCCAUGAAAAUGUCAAUGUGUGUGCAACAUUGCCCU